UGGUCAUAUAGCACUGAAACACAGGUUCCUAUAUGAUCACUGAAGUUAAGCAAUGCCAAGCCUAAUCAAUAUCUAGAUGGGUGACCACUUGGGAAUACCAGAUGCUGUAAG